UGUGAUAGAAUCUGAAGACUAAGCAGGAGGGCGGGUGGCUGCUGCCAACCUUUACACCCUGAUUGGAGAGUCCACGUCUGUGCCAGUUCUCUCACCAGCUCAGAGGGCAGUGGCUCAGGGAACCUCAGCACUUCAUCCAGCUGCUGUGAGACCAACACCAGCUCCUCUGACAUCAAGCCCUGAACCCUCCAACCUUCCCAGGCCACAUCAGGCCGCCCCUGGUCUCCGGAGCCGAACGCUACAGCACCAGCUGGUGGCUCCCCCAACAAAGCAGUACUUUCUCCCCCACCCAAAACCCAACUUUCCCAACUCUCCUUACCCAGAGGCAAGCCCCUGGAUUAGGAUACUGGUCAGCCACUUCAAGAAAAUGCCAACUAAUGCCAGUGUUCCAGUGACCAGUCUAUAGAUAGUAGUGUCAUUGAUUAGAGAAUGGAUCUGGUGCCCUGGUGUAAUUGUAGAGACACAGUGCAGUGUUUGUAUUAAGAAGCUACAUUCAUCCAUCUAUCCAUCCAUCCACAGGAUGAGCAAGUGGAGUAUGAGGUCUAGGAUUGGUGAAGGGUGAACUGUUCCUAGAUCUGAUCGUCAGCUAUGCAAGCAGACCUGGGGCAGGCUAAUAUCAAUGGCACUACGGCAGACAAAAUGCCAUGGACAAGAUGGAACCUGACAUAACCAAUAGAAUUUGAAUAACAUUCUAGAAUGAAUUAGAAUUCUAAUUCUUUGAAUCUGAUCAGGUGUCAGUGAUGACAUGGAUCGUGUUGACCCGGUCUUGUUGUACUGUAGGCCUGUGUCACUGUUACAAUUCUGUUGGUCCACAUCAUGGUACCUUUGAUUGUCUAGAAUUAGACAAGACUCUUUGUAUUUUUCAAAUAGAAAGUUAUUGUAAAUAAAAAGAUUAUGAAUGCAAGUAUACCUUGUUUAGCGUUUCAGAUUGUUGCUCUGAGUGUUGCCAGUCACCUCAAACAUGUGACCAUGGAAGUAAUCAGUAUGACCUAUGGUAGUAGGCCUAUGACUAUCUUAUUGCCUGUUGGACAGUGAGGAGACACUGUGCAUUUGAAAGCUGAGGGAUGUGAAUGACUAGUUAUGUACUUUGAUAAAGAUGUUAUUCUACAUAUUUCUAUCUCUGUAAUGUAAUCUCUCUCUACUCUUUCUCCCUUGCUUGGCCUUCUUCCCUCUUGUCUUCUUAAUUAGCUUACCCUGUCCUGCAACAGUUUUGUAUGACUCAGAGUACAGGAGGCUGCUGAGGGGAGGACUACUCAUAAAAAGGCCUGGAAUGUAGUGAAUGGAAUAGUAUCAAAUGCAUGGAAACCAUUUAUUCCGUUCCAGCCAUUACUAUGAGCCCUGUCCUCCCCAAUUAAGGUGCCUCCAACCUCCUGUGAUUCAGUCACAGUAUUCACUGUUGGUUGUCCUCGUCAAAUAACUUUGAGAUCCCUUUUUCAUCCACUCCACCGGCUGUCCAGUCACACAUGUAUUAAACAUGACUUCGGAUGUAUGCUAGUCAUUUUACGGGCAUUUCUCCAUGUGUACUGUGAACUUUCCUCCUUUUGUUAAUAACUCAGAAUCCAGUGUAUAGUCUUAAAUUAUUUAUUGCUUUACAAUCAUUUAUAAAGAUAGUUUAUUACCUCACUCUUUUCUUUCAGAAAGUCUCUGUCAGCAUUGUCUGUUUUUUUAUAUUAAAAAGGACUUUGUGUC